CGGGGACGCCUCGGGCAUAGGUAAAGCCGUGAGCUCUGUAUGCUGUUAUCACAUGGUCUGUAGGCUUUAUGGCAACUUCAAGCCCUACGCAGCAAGCCUCCUGACCAUCGUAUAAGUGACAGAAGCCACGAAUAAUUUUCUGCUUGUACAGCUGGUCCGACUUCAGCUCCAUGCGCCGUAUGGUCUGCAUUGUCUUGUAGUAAUGGAGCCCCUCCUCUCGUGUCAGCACCGCAGUGGUAGCAGGGCCUUCUUCCAGGCGAUGGAGGUCACACGGCUUAAUCUCGAACGUAGCUUCAUUUGCAAAGUCGGCAUAGUUUCGUGAUGCUACCAUCACUCGGGAGGCCGUCCUGCCGGCGGCGGCGACCGGGCCCUGCAGCACGCGGGAGAGCGCGGCCAGCAGCAUCUUGCGCAUGGAGAGGAGAGGGGCGGAGACUCUGGAGGGGGUCCCGUCCUCGAGUCUCCUUCAACCGCCCGCCGAACCCGCCCCGGCUGCCAACCACACCGCCCGCCCCACG
rnacentral:lncRNA from 1 species